UACGGAGGGAGCUAGCGUUGUUCGGAAUUACUGGGCGUAAAGCGCACGUAGGCGGCGAAGCAAGUCAGGGGUGAAAUCCCGGGGCUCAACCCCGGAACUGCCUUUGAAACUGCUUUGCUAGAAUCCUGGAGAGGCGAGUGGAAUUCCGAGUGUAGAGGUGAAAUUCGUAGAUAUUCGGAAGAACACCAGUGGCGAAGGCGACUCGCUGGACAGGUAUUGACGCUGAGGUGCGAAAGCGUGGGGAGCAAACAGG
rnacentral:rRNA from 1 species